UGUUUUCAUGCUACAAUAGCAGAAUUGAGUAGCACUUCGUAUGGCUGCUUAGCACACUGCAAACUGCAGUGACACAGUUAUAAAUCCACAGCCUUUCAAGUGCCACAUCACAAUUUUUAACUUUAUUUUUAUUACCAGUGGCUGCUCAUCAUAUCAAAACCAGAAAAGAAGAUUAGACUGCAAAUGUCACACUUUUAAGGCACAGUGGACAGUGAAUUGUUCUGUUAUCAAAUUAGAUGGCAAAGCACUGUGUUUAUUAUGCAAUGACACUAUAGCUGUGCUCAACUGAAUCCAAUAUACAUGAAUAUUACCAAUCAAAGAACUCAUCACAAUAUCCCCUGCCACAGGCAAACAAUGGUCAGAAAAAAACAGAAAAUUUAAAAUGGUGUGUCUCAUCAUAGGAAAGCUUCUUUCACAAAAAUAAAAAAUGAACAUGAGCUUCCGACCAAGUAAGUUUUCUGAAUGGCUUAUUUGUUGGCUAAUCAAGGAAAGCCAUUUACUGAUGGUUAAUUAAAUCAUAUUUGAUUGUAGAAACUGAAGAAGUGUGUCGAGAGAAAAUAAUCUCUGUCUGAGAUUAUCAGCCAUUCAGUGAGUACAGUUACUCAAAAAAUUGAGGACAUUGGGAACAAUAUGAAUAGCUGAUGAGAAAACAAAGCAAAAAAACCCCACAUAUACAUGCAAGGAAAAUGAUUUCAAGUGGUUUUCUUUGGUCAAAAGAUGUUGUGGAUACCGCUCAAUUGCUGUUUUUUAUUUGAGGAGUCAAUGCCAAGUUUGGUGUAAGUGAAGAAUUAACCUCUAUGAAGAAUCUAUGUGAAACAAUUCCAGGCAAGAAUAUAUUCAAAGUUGAGAAAACACUAGUUCAGUACAACCUAGAGUGGAAUCUGCUAAGAUGUGUUACAACCAAUGAUGCCAAUAUAUGUGGAGGAGAAAAAGACAAAUUUACAAAGUGUGUUUUAAAUGUUACGGUUAUUCAUGGUAUUUAUUAUUCAAUCAGCAGGUAUCCUGCAGAAAAUAUCUGAAUUAAUCAUGAGCCAAGAGUGUCAAAGGUGAAUUUCACUCACUCCUAUGGGUUUAACUAUCCUCAGCUUUGUGAAUUUUUGUCAAAAAUGGAAGCUGAAUAUCUUGACUUGCCCUACCAUGCAGUCCAAAAACUUUGCAGUGACAAAAUUUUAUUGUGACUUUUUUAGGUACUGAGACUAAAAUUUUUCUAAAUGAGAAGAAUCACUACUGACCACUAUUAUCAAACUGAAUGGCUUAGGAAAUGAGCUUUUGCUGCAAACUUGAUAAUGUUUCUUAAUGAAUUUAAUUUAUAUUUAUAAGGCAAACAGUUGCUAAUAUGUGAAUUUUUUUACUGAAGCAAAGCCAAUACAAUGCUAAUUAAUGCUGUUUGAAUCACAAAUAAUAUGUUGUGUUAUCAAGAGUUAAAACAAAAAAUAAUAUCUAUAUUCCCACACAAAUCUGAAAUAGAUAUACUUUCUAACAUCAAAUUAAACUCCAGAGAGGGUAAACAACUGUCCCAGGUUUAGCACUUGAAGUCCCAAAUCCUGGGUAACCGCUCAGUCCCAGGAAACUAGAACAACUGGUCUCCCUAAUUCCAGCAGUGAUUUUUGGACCCGAAUGCAAAUGCAAAGGAAAUUUCCAUAUUUCAAAAUCCAUCAACUGCAACUGAGGAGCUUCUACCUAACUUGCAACUGGAAGUGAUUAAUCUGCAAUAUAAUCACAUGCUAAAAGUCAAACAUCAAAAGAAGAAUCUAAUAAAAUAAGAUGAAUCUAAUAAAAAAAGAAGAAUUCUAUAAAAUAAGAUGCUGCUCAUGGAUUGAUAUCAGUGUGUGGUACUAAUCUGUUUGAAAGGGCAUAUUCAGAGGUGAAAUACAUGAAAUCUCAUCAGAGAUCAGCAUUAACAGAUGAAUAUUUGCAGUUGAGUUUGAUGAGACAGAACACUAACUUUGAACCCCAAUCAAAUGAAAUGCUAUCCUCCAUUCCAAUUAGAUGUGUGCCACAAAAACACCUGUAAUCAGUUAUUAUUAUAGUAUGAAUUUCAUCAAGACAAACAUUUCAGAAUCUCUCUCUCUUGCUAUAUAAGUACUUACAUAAUACCUUCAAUUUUGCCUAUUGGCCUGCAAAGCCUAAAAUAUUUACCUGGCCCUUUACAUUAUGUAGGCCCCUCAUCUAGACUAAGAUAAAUAUAGUUAAGGGAUGGGGACUGUCAUAGUUGACAAGAAACUGAAUGAAGCAGUAACUGUCUUUUAUGAGAAGAAUAAACAAAGUGGUAUGUGUUUAAAAGACUAUAACAUACCAGAGUCAGAAGCAAUCACUUCAUUACACCAAUCUCUUUAGAUGUCCAUCUAGAAUCUAGAUCAUAGAUCUUAAACACUUCUGCUAUGGAAGUUAAUUUUCCUUUAUAUGAAAAAUUGGUAUGGAUUCAAGGAUGAUUGACAGUGACUAACUGUGAAACAGUGUUUAUUUUUAAACAUUUUGAAAAGUAUAGUUGUUUAGCGCAAAGUGUCAAGAUUACAGGGAUAGCAAUUACUAUUUAAUUACACAAAGUACACUGGGCUGUUUUAUGGUCUAUGGAAAACUUCUAAAAACAUAAAUUAAAGCAGGUUAUUUUGUUUUGUUUUAGUUUUGUUUAGUCAUAAGAAUGAUGUAUGACUACUAGGAAGACAAAAUGUUACACCAGUUUCUGAGAGAGAUGGUUAAUUUUAUACUCCUAGACAGCUUCCAAAAGAGAAUAACCAUCUUACUGUAGGCUUUAAACUUUUAUCUACCUAAAGGCAAGAGCCAACCCAUUAUUUUAAAAAAAUCAAAUGUCCUAUGAAAGCAUUACAAUCCAGAUUUCAUAAGAUGGCUCCAUACCAUAUUAGAAAUGUUAUGAAAAAUUUAAACUAUAUAGCUAAUAUCCCAGUCAAUAGAAAAAUGCCACAAAACAGCAAAUAAUUUAGAGUUAAUGACAGACAAAUAACAUGUACUUUUAUAAAAAUAUCAUCAUCAUCAUGGCAUUUCAUGGUGCUAGGACUACGAGGAAGAAUAAGAUUCUGUUGAUAAGCUUAAGAAAAUUUAUAAUCUACUUGGUAAGCUAAACUAAGUAAAUAAAGAAAAUUAAUAAUAAUAUAAGUGAACAUAGCCUAGUGCCAAAUUAGUAUAUGCAUAUGUGCACUAAAUGCUGUAAGAAAAGAGAAACAAAAUUCGAACUUAUUAAUACAACCAAUUAUAUACACAAUUACUUGUUUCAAGGAUGAAAAUAUGUAAAUUAAUGUCUACCUAUUAUUCAUCAAUAAUGAGAAACUAGACUGUAGCAGUAAUGUCACUUCUUUUUCCUCAGCCUAAUAUUUAAAUUUAAGUAAAGAUGAUUCUUUUAAAAGCAUCAUUUUGAUGUACUAAGCCAGAGUCACCAGGUCUCAUAUCACUGCUAUGAGAGCAAAUAACCCACUAAUCAAAUAUAGUAUUCUUUCCCAUUGAGGAAAAAAAAAGGCCUCAUAAAACUUAACACAGCUCCCCAGGUAACCACCACUAAUCACCAGAAUUGGCACUUAAAUGAAACUUACUUACCAUGCAAGUUUUAAGGCAUCUCUUUAAGAACAGAAGCAACAAUAAAAGCAUAGUCUACUCAUUUGAUUUCAGUACAUUAGCCAUAACAUGUAUGUAUGAGAAUAACUGGUAUUUUCAUACUAUUUUGAAGUUUGAUUAUUGCUUUCUCUAGAGUUUUAAGUAUUUUAUGAUUAUUUUAAGUAUUUCUCUUUCUAGUGAGAACAUUAAAAGGUUCUAUUAACAAUUUUUAUUAAAGUCCUUUAUUAGAUUUUAAGAUAAUGAAUGUUGUGAUCUUUUAUUUUAGGAGAAAUGAGAGAAGAUGGCAUAGGACAGGAAAUCGGAGAUGGUGGUUCUCUCAGAAUGGUUCACUUCGGUUUGGUAUAAAUACGAAACUUGUUUUUUUAUUUUUAAAAAACCCGCAUUUUUCACAUCUAAACUUUUUCAUGGCCUGAUAUAGAUUAAAAUCUCCCUAUAUGAAUUAAAAAGAGGAGAGAUAACAUGAAUUAGUUAAAACAUUUAAAUUCAGAGUAUUUUCAAAGUAAAGUUUUAUUAGUUUCAAAAACAUGCAGCAUAACAGCAAAGUCAUCUUAAGUAAAAGUCUUUAAAUUUUUGAAGUUCCUUAAAUUGUACAUUAUUAGGUGCUUCAAAAGUAGGAUAUUUAAACUUGGUUCUCCCAAGUAUUUUAAAUAUCUCCUCUUGUGAUACUGUUUAUAUUAUUAAUUUGCAUGAUGAAUAAAGUAUUUAUUAAGUGAAAAGUUCAGCCCAGGCCCAUUGUUGGAAGACAAUUUUCCAUGGGUCUCUUGAAUUACUGAUAAUGAGGCACUGACUGCCCCUUGGUACACAGAUACUAUCUCGUUCUGGAGCAAUAUGCUUACAACCUGUUAUAAAAGGUUUGAAUUCCCUAAGCUCAGAGUUCCUACUCUUUACAGAGCCCAAUGAGUGUGCAACUGUCACCUGGCCCUCUUCACAUCACCCUGUGGGAAUGGGACUUAGGAAACCAUUGCCCACCCUGCAAAAAAAUGUUGAUACUCUAGCAACUAUUGGUGUAAGUAAUAAACUCUCUUUUGUCUCUGA